UGAUCCUGGCUCAGAUUGAACGCUGGCGGUAGGCUUAACACAUGCAAGUCGUGCGAGAAAGUAUCUUCGGAUAUGAGUAGAGCGGCGGACGGGUGAGUAACGCGUAGGAAUCUACCUAGUAGAAGGGGAUAGCCCGAGGAAACUCGGAUUAAUACCGUAUACCUCCUUCGGGAGAAAGAAGGCCUCUCAUUGAAGCUUUCGCUACUAGAUGAGCCUGCGUAAGAUUAGCUUGUUGGUGAGGUAAAGGCUCACCAAGGCAACGAUCUUUAGCGGGUCUGAGAGGACGAUCCGCCACAUUGGGACUGAGACACGGCCCAGACUCCUACGGGAGGCAGCAGUGGGGAAUAUUGGACAAUGGGCGCAAGCCUGAUCCAGCCAUACCGCGUGUGUGAAGAAGGCCCUAGGGUUGUAAAGCACUUUAAAUUGGGAAGAAAAGUUAUUGGCUAAUACCCAAUGACCGUGACAUUACCUUCAGAAUAAGGACCGGCUAAUUCCGUGCCAGCAGCCGCGGUAAUACGGAAGGUCCAAGCGUUAAUCGGAAUUACUGGGCGUAAAGCGCGCGUAGGUGGUUUAUUAAGUUGGAUGUGAAAUCCCCGGGCUCAACCUGGGAACUGCAUCCAAAACUGAUUCACUAGAGUACGAUAGAGGGAGGUAGAAUUCACAGUGUAGCGGUGGAAUGCGUAGAUAUUGUGAAGAAUACCAAUGGCGAAGGCAGCCUCCUGGAUCUGUACUGACACUGAGGUGCGAAAGCGUGGGUAGCGAACAGGAUUAGAUACCCUGGUAGU
rnacentral:rRNA from 1 species